UAUAAGAAAGCAUGAUCUAUGAUGAUAUAAUUUAUCUAUGUAAUAUUAUAGGAUUUGUUUUUUUUAAAUGACGGAAUAUUUGACUUGAUGACAUAAAUAGAACGAGUUAUGAUUAAUGCGCAUGUUGAUGUUCGAAUAAAUAGUUUCGAACCUAAAUGAUAGUUAUGUGAUAAUGUUUUGAGUUUAAGGUUUUGACGAGAUAAGAUUAAUAAUCCGACCUCAUAAGACGAGCUUUAAUUCCUUAAAUAGGAUUAGCAUCUCAUAAUUUAAUUAAAGGAAUAUGAGUCAUGCAUAAUCAUUUCACGCAUCCUCAUUUAUUUGAGAAUUUCCUUGAAUUAAAAUCUUGUUUUAUUUUCUCGUAUUAAAGGUCAAGCACAAGAGUUUAAGGCUUAGUCGUGAGUCUCUACUACCAGGUUGAGCUGUGAUGGAUGAUGAAGUGUUGCUGAGUGGAGCUUUUGUCAAUUUGAAAUUAGGCUCAGAAAAGAUAUAUGUCUGCAUACAUGUAUCUCAGUUAUGUCUUCCGCUGCAAACACUGAUUAUGUUUUAGUCAAGUCUAUAACUAUGUGAAUUACUCUUCAAAGAAAUAUCUAAUGCUUACUCGGGUUCAUCGAGUAUCCUUUUUAA